GCAGCACCUCCAUUCAACUUUAGUGCAGCACCUCCAUUCAACUACAGUACAGCACGUCCAUUCAACUCCAGUGCAGCACCUCCAUUCAACUUUAGUGCAGCACCUCCAUUUAACUACAGUACAGCACGUCCAUUCAAUUCCAGUGCAGCACCUCCAGUUUCCCCUGCUUCGCCCCCACCCAAAGAUCUUCUGACAAUACUCACUAAUCUGGAGGUGGAGAUUUUGGCCGAGGAGUCGUCCACUGAAGCAGAGCGUGAGAAAGCACUGCGGGAGGUUGGUGCUUUGGUGGAGAGUUAUUUAAGAGAGUACUAUAAUGAUAUUGACUCUUUUGAGGUCACGAGAAUUGCGCCGGUAUCACCAUGUGAUUGAGACGGAAAUCAGCCAAGAGGAACAGACAUGAAAAAACUCUCAUCCCUACUGGACUUUUGCAGUUUUUCCUGAAAUGCUAAAACACAUUUUUUGAAACCAUCACUCAUUUUCUCAAAACCUUAAACAGAAAUACAAAUGUUUAAACUAAAUUCACAGAACCCCUGACUCUUCUGGCAAAAUCAAACAAUUGCUUCAAAAUUGUUUCUCCUGUACUCAAAAUCAAACAAAACUUUAAAAUCAUACACAUUAGUCAAUACUACACACACUACAGAUCAUUCAUUAGACACUACAAAAAACAAAAAAAAAAAAAAAAAAAAAAAAAAAAAAUACACAGUGCUCAGUGCAUGUAGAUACUAAAAAAGAAGAAUGCUUACUGUGUAUAGUAAUUAUUUUGCAAGAAAAAAGAUACAUAAACAUACACACACUCAAAGGAAAUCACACCUAAGUUUGGUGAAUAUACCAAAAAAAUAAAAAGGAAAAAUACACACACAUAUGUAUGUGUGUGUGUGUGUGUGUGUGUGUGUAUAUAUAAAGUGUGUGUGCGCAUCUCUCUCUCUCUCUGCCUAUAUAUAUAUAUAUAUAUAUAAAAUGUGUGUGUGUGUGUGUGUGUGUGCGCAUCUCUCUCUCUCUCUCUCUCUCUAUAUAUAUAUAUAUAUAUAUACACACACACUGCCCUCCAAAAGUCAAAACGCCCUAGAAAAGUGGGGUUUUGGACAAUAUUGGCAUGGAUCCUUUUUACAGUUUUUCUGAAAUGCUAAAACACAUUUUUUAAAACCAUCACUCAAAACCUUAAACACAAAUCCAAACGUUAAACAAAAUUCACAGAACCCCUGACUCUUUUGGCAAAAUCAAAUUGCUUCAAAACCAUUUCACCUGUACUCAAAAUCAAACAAAGCUUUCAAAUCACACACAUAUUAGUCAAUACUAUACACACUACAGAUGAUUCAUUAGACACUACAUAAAAAAAUAGAGAACACACUGUCCAGUGCAUGUAGUUACAAAAUAAAUAAAUAAAUAAAUAAAUAAAUAAAUGUUGACUGUAUAUAGUAAUUAUUUUUCAAUAAAAAUGAUUCAUAAACAUACACACACUCAAAAGAAAUCACGCCUAAGUUUGGUGAAUAUACCAAAAAAAAUAAAAUGACAUAUGUUACUGUAUUUUUUUAAAUAAUUACUAUAUACUGUACAGUAUAUCAUAUAUAUAUAUAUAUAUAUAUUUUCACACUCCUAUUCACACUCUUCUGUACCUCUCAGAUUGACCGAUACCUUCUGUGCACAUUGAACUGGCUUAUAUUUUGUAUAUUUAAAUAUUUAGAAACAAGUGUGAAGAACUUUUAAUUAUUAUGUGUAAACGAUGACAGCCGUGUUGCAGUUGCGCUUAACUUUUGCUUUCUUGUGUUUAGGGUUUUGUAUCACAAGUUCAUCACGAAGCAAAUUGUGUCUUAGUGAGUGAGAAUGUGUUUAGAGUUUUGCAAAAAGAGUGUGUGAGAUCUGCGAACAAUGUCUAAACUGCCUAAACUUGUUUAAGGUAUUGCAGAAAGAGUAUUUUCUUUACAAAUUGGUUUAGACUAUUGGGAAUUUGGUUUAGAGAAUGGGGUUUAGUGUUUUAGCAAAUGUGAAAACUGUAAUAUGAGAUCUCAUUAUUUAUGGUGAUGGUUCAACAGAAGUAUUCCAACUUCUGACACAAACAUUUAAAUCUUUGGUAUUUUAAUUUUAAACAUAGACGCAUUGUAUAUGUUUGAUGCAAACUAUGAAAAGUGAGAUUUGAGUUUGUUUUUUGGGGAGAUUCCUGUUUAUGCUGUAUGAUUUAUUUUUUCCCUGUCUGGAUUACUAAAUGUUUAUCAUGCAUUUCAUGAAAUAAAUAUAAAUAAUUGGACUUAA